UGAGGAAUAUUGGACAAUGGGCGCAAGCCUGAUCCAGCAAUGCCGCGUGCAGGAUGAAGGCCUUCGGGUUGUAAACUGCUUUUGUACGGAGCGAAAAGGUCUGCCCUAAUACGGUGGGCUCAUGACGGUACCGUAAGAAUAAGCACCGGCUAACUACGUGCCAGCAGCCGCGGUAAUACGUAGGGUGCGAGCGUUAAUCGGAAUUACUGGGCGUAAAGCGUGCGCAGGCGGUUAUAUAAGACAGAUGUGAAAUCCCCGGGCUCAACCUGGGACCUGCAUUUGUGACUGUAUAGCUAGAGUGCGGUAGAGGAGGAUGGAAUUCCGCGUGUAGCAGUGGAAUGCGUAGAUAUGCGGAGGAACACCGAUGGCGAAGGCAAUCCCCUGGACCUGUACUGACGCUCAUGCGCGAAAGCGUGGGGAGCAAACA
rnacentral:rRNA from 1 species